rnacentral:rRNA from 1 species
UACGGGGGGGAGCAAGCGUUGUUCGGGAUUUACUGGGCGUAAAGGGCGCGUUAGGCGGGUCGUGACAAGUCACUUGUGAAAUCUCCGGGCUUAACUCGGAACGGUCAAGUGGAUACUGUCGGACUAGAGUACAGAAGGGGGCAACUGGAAUUCUCGGGUGUAGCGGUGAAAUGCGUAGAGUAUCAAAGAGGAACACCUGAGGUGAAGACGGGUUGCUGGGCUGACACGUGACGUGGAGGCGCGAAAGCUAGGGUAGCAAACGGG